rnacentral:tRNA from 1 species
GAGAAUGUAGCUCAGCUGGAUAGAGCGUCAGGUUGCGGACCUGAAGGUCGGAGGUUCGACUCCUCUUAUUCUCG